rnacentral:lncRNA from 10 species
GGGAUGUUAAUUGCCUGGCAUACAGUAGGUGCCCCAUAAUUGCUUGUCUUUGUCCCCGAGAAAGAGCCGAUGGGACAGAAAGAAGUUAGAGAUAAGGGAAGAAGGCGAAGUGAAGGGUUAGGGGAGAAUAAGAAAACUGUCUGGCACACAAUAGGUACUCAAUAAAUGCCCAUUUUCUUCCCUGGCACAGAGCAGAAAGAAGCAGAGACUGGUGGAGUCAGUGGAGACUGAAGGGCAAGAGGAGAGGAGAGAAAGGACAUAAUUGCUUGCAUACCAGAAGUGCUCAAUAAAUGUAGUCCUUGCCUUGGAAGAGGGCAGAGAGCUCAGAAACACAAGGAAAGGACAGAAGAGGGACCGGGGAGGAAGAGAGUGAGGAGAGAGGAGCCAGAGGCACAGGAGGAACAAGUAGAGGGCGCCGAGGACGGCACACCCGAGGCGGGCACACCCGAGGCGGGCACACCCGAGGACGGCACACCCGUGGCGGGAGACGGAGUGUGUGAGGAGAGGCGAGGAGGCAUUUUGGGUGCAUACAGCAGCACCGGAGGAGCGUGAGCCCCAGGGGGCACGGACUUGUGUUUUUUUCUGCUGUGUCACUGAUGAGGAAACUGAGGCCCAGCAGUGAGAAACUGGCAUGAGGUGGCAGAGAACCAGGAGGCCUCCUGGGCUCUCGGCCCCACACACCAGGGUGUCUG